AGUGAACGCUGGCGGUAGGCCUAACACAUGCGAGUCGAACGGCAGCACAGUAAGAGCUUGCUCUUACGGGUGGCGAGUGGCGGACGGGUGAGGAAUACAUCGGAAUCUACUUUUUCGUGGGGGAUAGCGUAGGGAAACUUACGCUAAUACCGCAUACGACCUACGGGUGAAAGCAGGGGAUCUUCGGACCUUGCGCGAUUGAAUGAGCCGAUGUCGGAUUAGCUAGUUGGCGGGGUAAAGGCCCACCAAGGCGACGAUCCGUAGCUGGUCUGAGAGGAUGAUCAGCCACACUGGAACUGAGACACGGUCCAGACUCCUACGGGAGGCAGCAGUGGGGAAUAUUGGACAAUGGGCGCAAGCCUGAUCCAGCCAUACCGCGUGGGUGAAGAAGGCCUUCGGGUUGUAAAGCCCUUUUGUUGGGAAAGAAAAGCAGCAGGUUAAUACCCCGCUGUUCCGACGGUACCCAAAGAAUAAGCACCGGCUAACUUCGUG
rnacentral:rRNA from 1 species